rnacentral:rRNA from 1 species
GAGGCGACGAUGCGUAGGGGUUCUGAGAGGAAGGUCCCCCACACUGGUACUGAGACACGGACCAGACUCCUACGGGAGGCAGCAGUGAGGAAUAUUGGUCAAUGGGCGGGAGCCUGAACCAGCCAAGUCGCGUGAGGGAAGACGGUCCUACGGAUUGUAAACCUCUUUUGCCGGGGAGCAACGGGGUCCUUGCGAGGGCCCGAUGAGAGUACCCGGAGAAAAAGCAUCGGCUAACUCCGUGCCAGCAGCCGCGGUAAUACGGAGGAUGCGAGCGUUAUCCGGAUUUAUUGGGUUUAAAGGGUGCGUAGGCGGGCUGUUAAGUCAGCGGUCAAAUGUCGGGGCUCAACCCCGGCCUGCCGUUGAAACUGGCGGCCUCGAGUGGGCGAGAAGUAUGCGGAAUGCGUGGUGUAGCGGUGAAAUGCAUAGAUAUCACGCAGAGCUCCGAUUGCGAAGGCAGCAUACCGGCGCCCUACUGACGCUGAGGCACGAAAGCGUGGGUAUCGAACAGGAUUAGAUACCCUGGUAGUCCACGCAGUAAACGAUGAAUGCUAGCUGUCCGGUUCUACGGGACUGG